UAGAGUUUGAUUCAUGGCUCAGGAUGAACGCUAGCGGCAGGCUUAACACAUGCAAGUCGAGGGGUAACAUAGUUGCUUGCAACUGAUGACGACCGGCGCACGGGUGCGUAACGCGUAUAGUACCUACCUUAUAGUAAGGGAUAGCCCAGAGAAAUUUGGAUUAAUACCUUAUAGUAUCCUAAGUGAGCCUUCACUAAGGAUUAAAGAUUUAUCGCUAUAAGAUGGCUAUGCGUUCUAUUAGCUAGUUGGUAUGGUAACGGCAUACCAAGGCUACGAUAGAUAGGGGUCCUGAGAGGGAGAUCCCCCACACUGGUACUGAGACACGGACCAGACUCCUACGGGAGGCAGCAGUGAGGAAUAUUGGACAAUGGAGGCAACUCUGAUCCAGCCAUGCCGCGUGUAGGAAGACUGCCCUAUGGGUUGUAAACUACUUUUAUAGAGGAAGAAACCAUUUCACGUGUGAAAUGCUGACGGUACUCUACGAAUAAGGAUCGGCUAACUCCGUGCCAGCAGCCGCGGUAAUACGGAGGAUCCAAGCGUUAUCCGGAAUCAUUGGGUUUAAAGGGUCCGUAGGCGGUUUAGUAAGUCAGUGGUGAAAGUUUUCGGCUCAACCGGAAAAUUGCCAUUGAUACUGCAAGACUUGAAUUAUUGUGAAGUGGUUAGAAUGUGUAGUGUAGCGGUGAAAUGCAUAGAUAUUACACAGAAUACCGAUUGCGAAGGCAGAUCACUAACAAUUAAUUGACGCUAAGGGACGAAAGCGUGGGUAGCGAACAGGAUUAGAUACCCUGGUAGUCCACGCCGUAAACGAUGGUUACUAGCUGUUUGGACUUCGGUCUGAGUGGCUAAGCGAAAGUGAUAAGUACCCACCU
rnacentral:rRNA from 1 species